rnacentral:rRNA from 1 species
GNNUUUUUAGGGGAUAAAAAACUUUUUGGGGGGGAAAAAANCGACCGGUACGUGUACCGGAGUGAAUGUACCCUACGAAUAAGCAUCGGCUAACUCCGUGCCAGCAGCCGCGGUAAUACGGAGGAUGCGAGCGUUAUCCGGAUUUAUUGGGUUUAAAGGGUGCGUAGGCGGCCUGUUAAGUCAGCGGUGAAAUCUAGGAGCUUAACUCCUAAAUUGCCGUUGAUACUGGCGGGCUUGAGUGUAGAUGAGGUAGGCGGAAUGCGUGGUGUAGCGGUGGAAUGCAUAGAUAUCACGCAGAACUCCAAUUGCGAAGGCAGCUUACUAAGGUACAACUGACGCUGAAGCACGAAAGCGUGGGUAUCAAACAGGAUUAGAUACCCUGGUAGUCCACGCAGUAAACGAUGAUAACUGGGCGUAUGCGAUAUACAGUAUGCUCCUAAGCAAAAGCGUUAAGUUAUCCACCUGGGGAGUACGCCGGCAACGGUG